CAAGUCGAACGGCAGCACGGAGAGCUUGCUCUCUGGUGGCGAGUGGCGAACGGGUGAGUAAUAUAUCGGAACGUAUCCAAUAAUGGGGGAUAACGAGUCGAAAGAUUCGCUAAUACCGCAUACGCCCUACGGGGGAAAGCAGGGGAUCGUAAGACCUUGCGUUAAUGGAGCGGCCGAUAUCUGAUUAGCUUGUUGGUGAGGUAAAGGCUCACCAAGGCGACGAUCAGUAGCUGGUUUGAGAGAACGACCAGCCACACUGGAACUGAGACACGGUCCAGACUCCUACGGGAGGCAGCAGUGGGGAAUUUUGGACAAUGGGGGCAACCCUGAUCCAGCCAUUCCGCGUGAGUGAAGAAGGCCUUCGGGUUGUAAAGCUCUUUCGCAAGGGAAGAAAACUUAUGAUCGAAUAAAUCAUGAGGUUGACGGUACCUUGAUAAGAAGCACCGGCUAACUACGUGCCAGCAGCCGCGGUAAUACGUAGGGUGCGAGCGUUAAUCGGAAUUACUGGGCGUAAAGCGUGCGCAGGCGGUUUUGUAAGUCGGAUGUGAAAUCCCCGGGCUCAACCUGGGAACUGCGUUCGAAACUGCAAGGCUAGAGUGUGUCAGAGGGGGGUAGAAUUCCACGUGUAGCAGUGAAAUGCGUAGAGAUGUGGAGGAAUACCAAUGGCGAAGGCAGCCCCCUGGGAUAACACUGACGCUCAUGCACGAAAGCGUGGGGAGCAAACAGGAUUAGAUACCCUGGUAGUCCACGCCCUAAACGAUGUCAACUAGUUGUUGGUAGAGUAAAAUCUAUGAGUAACGUAGCUAACGCGUGAAGUUGACCGCCUGGGGAGUACGGUCGCAGAUUAAAACUCAAAGGAAUUGACGGG
rnacentral:rRNA from 1 species